GCAUGCGGCCAAUGGGAAAGUGUCUCUACAGGGCGGUCUGCAGUUACUUUAAGGUGCACCUCUUGCACCGACCCAGUGAACGUAUUUUUGGAUGGCCUAUCCAGUUGCCUCAGGUGUUUGAAAUCUGCUUUAUAAAUAAAAGGACUAGCGCUAGAACUUGCACUAAAUGCUGGUGCUCACCGAGAUGUGUCCUCCGUGCCAGGACUGUGGGUAAUUGAAGGACGCAAAAGGUACACUUGAUGCAUCCUUCAAAAUGAGCCGAAUGAAGGAUACGAAACGAAAGGCUGCCUUCCAAGGAUCCUUCAAAUUGAGAUGACCUUCUGCACAUCUUGGUGACAUGGUAGCCGAGAUAUGUAGCCUUACUAGGACGCAGGCUUCCGUUUGAGAAGUACUCACAGUGUAGUUGCUCAUGCAAAAUUUUUUUAACACUUCCAAAUCCACAGCCGCAGAUGGUUGGGACCCCACCCAGCCCCUGUGCGUCUGUCCAUUGGAAAUGAAUGACUUCUGGUCCAUCAGCCAUUGUUUGUCGUGUGCAAGUGGAAAGAUGACUUUAGGGGUGCACAGAAAUUUCUACAUAUGCUACAAUGAUUUCAAUUUUUUUUUUUUUUUUAAAGAAAAAAAAAAAAACUCAAAUACUUAAAUAGUGUAAAAAUGUAUACCCUUUUUCUAUGACACUUGACAUUUAACUAAGGGACAUUGCAAUUUCUCUGGAUCCUCUUUGAGAUGUUUUUACUUCUUGAUUGGAAUUAAACUGAGACAAAUUGAUUUGA